GAUGCAGAACGUAGCGAAAUGCGAUAAGUAGUGUGAAUUGCAGAAUUCAGUGAAUCAUCGAAUCUUUGAACGCACAUUGCGCCCCUUGGUAUUCCAUGGGGCAUGCCUGUUCGAGCGUCAUUUGUACCUUCAAGCUCUGCUUGGUGUUGGGUGUUUGUCUCGCCUCUGCGUGUAGACUCGCCUCAAAACAAUUGGCAGCCGGCGUAUUGAUUUCGGAGCGCAGUACAUCUCGCGCUUUGCACUCAUAACGACGACGUCCAAAAGUACAUUUUUACACUCUUGACCUCGGAUCAGGUAGGGAUACCCGCUGAACUUAAGCAUAUCAAUAAGCGGAGGA
rnacentral:misc_RNA from 1 species